rnacentral:rRNA from 1 species
CACGUAGUUAGCCGGUGCUUCUUCUGCAGGUACCGUCACUUGCGCUUCUUCCCUGCUGAAAGAGGUUUACGACCCGAAGGCCUUCAUCCCUCACGCGGCGUCGCUGCGUCAGGCUUUCGCCCAUUGCGCAAUAUUCCCCACUGCUGCCUUCCGUAGGAGUCUGGGCCGUGUCUCAGUCCCAGUGUGGCCGGUCGCCCUCUCAGGCCGGCUACCCGUCGUCGCCUUGGUAGGCCAUUACCCCACCAACAAGCUGAUAGGCCGCGAGCUCAUCUCUGACCGAAAAACUUUCCACACACAGACCAUGCGACCAUGUGUCAUAUCCGGUAUUAGCCACCGUUUCCCGUGGUUAUCCCAGAGUCAGAGGCAGAUUACUCACGUGUUACUCACCCGUUCGCCACUGAUCCACCCCGAAAGGCUUCACCGUUCGACUUGCAUGUGUUAAGCACGCCGCCAGCGUUCGUCCUGAGCCAGGAUCAAACUCU